ensembl:lncRNA LINC01206 long intergenic non-protein coding RNA 1206
UGAGUGGACCUGACUACCUAGAGAGAGUAAUACAGAAGCUCCGUGCCGAUCACAGCUACCUCAUUACCAUGUUCCUCCAAGAUGGCCGCCCCUGAGGAGAAUCAUCAACUGGGCUUUACGGAAGAGAGAAAUCCAAACGACCAUCAGCAACAAAUGAAAGACUGAAGUUGAAAGGAAAAUGACUUCCCCAGCAGCAGGAAUUGCUGAGAAAGUGAUAUUUAGUCAAGUGCUAAGAAGAGUGCUAUAAAACAUUGUUUAACCUGCAGAAGCAGUAUAAGUCUGUUGUUAAAAAAAAAAAAAAACACUAAAGAAAAACAUGCUUUCUAAAAAGUUCACUUCUACUCUAAUUGUUUCAAUCUUCUCCAGAGUUUCAAGAUUGUCAAGAAUGACGAGUUGGACUUGGUCUAGUUACUUCCACAGCAGCAGGAGGAACAUGUGUGUGACUCAGGAUAACUGGGGAAGCCUUGGCUAGGCUUUCCUCAUGUCAACCUACCACUCAAAGGGAGAAAACCUCCUGAUCAGAGGUGCCCAGAACCCAGGAAAUCCAUAAUUUUUGAAUGCUGGCCGAGGUCUGUGACCUCUGACUGAAUGGUUUCCAAGCUCCGAAUUCCUAGGUGAUGUUUUCAUUUGUUCACACUUGCUGAAGAAGGGAAAGGCUCUCUGAUUUACGUGUAAGCAAAACAAUCUAAACAGUAGGAUAAAAUCAUGUUGGAAUGGAGUUCUGUGUGGAUGCUCCUUUGAACCAAAUCAGUUCCACAACUGACCCUG